GGAAGUAAAAGCCGUAACAAGGUUUCCGUUGGUGAACCAGCGGAGGGAUCAUUACAGAGUUGCAAAACUCCCAAACCAUUGUGAACGUUACCUAUCCCGUUGCUUCGGCGGGCGGCCCGGGCCCCGCGCCCGGCGCCCCCCGGCCCCCCGUGGGCGCCCGCCGGAGGUAAACCAAACCCUUGAAUUGCAUGGCCUCUCUGAGUCUUCUGUACUGAAUAAGUCAAAACUUUCAACAACGGAUCUCUUGGUUCUG
rnacentral:misc_RNA from 1 species